UAAAGCGAGUACAAGGCAAAAGAUACAUGCAUGAAAUGCUUACGGGUUGACCCAUGCCUGUGCUAUAUUGUAGAGGUCCCUACAAAGGGCACAUAGAGCACAUAGAGACUCUUUCACCUAGAUAUCACACUAUAGAGACUGUGUCUGUUCCCCGGGCUAGAAAAUACAAAAAACGUCCAAACCAAUUUAAGAGCAACAAUUUAAUUGAGGUUGAACAAAUAAAAAACAGAUGUAAUAUGAAUAAACAAAUGAUAAAGCUUGGCUUAUUGAAUAUCAGGGCCCGUAUUCAUAAAGAUUCUAAGAAUCCUCUCAGAAAACUCUUAAUUUAGCUUAAAAACUUUUACGUAGGAGUCUUAGCUUAAGACCAAUUCGGGACCGAUCUGAGAGCAACUCUGAGUAAGGAAAAGACAAAAACUUUCAUCUUAGUGAGGAGGCGGGGUUGACCCCGUUGCUAUGUAUGACACAAUCUUUUGAAGACUGUGAUUGGUUGGUUGUCCAAGAAGGAAAAAAAGAGUGAUUUUAAGUACAGGGUCUAUUCUAAUCCUUCACUUUGUAUUUACAUGCGUAAUUUUUCCUAUUUGACCGUUCUCUCUCACACACACACAUACAUUAUAUGUGUGUAUAUAAAUCCCUUUUUUUAUUUACCAUGCUUUUAAUUUCCUAUAAGGUAUUUGAUUGGCUUAGAAUGAUAAAAAUUGUUCCACUCUUUCCAAUUAAACUGAUUGCUGUCUAUUUAAGUGGUGGUUUGAAUGUUGGUUUUAAUGUAUUAAACAUGGAAUCAAAAUCAAAAAGGGCGAGAAAGCCCAACUGGACAGAGGAACAGUGUUUACUGUUAGCCCAGUUAGUGGAUGAACACAAGGCCAUUCUUAAAGGAAAUUUUGGGCCGGGUGUCACAGCACGGGAAAAGAAGCAGACAUGGGAGCAUAUAGCACAAACUAUUAACGGUUCAUUACCCCUGCUUGUGCGCACCAGGGAAGAUUGCUAUAUUCAUAAAUGCAGUUUUUUGAGCCUGCAAGGUGGGAAUGUCCAGUGGAAACGAAAUGAACUGCGACACAAUAAGAGGUUCUGAAAGUGCUGUAAUUGUUUGUGUGAUCACUCUGCUUACAGAAGGUUGUGACAGACCCAAAUCAUCACUACUGCAUUGUUGCAUUUUCCCAGUUGCCAAAUAUCGUAAUGUAGUGAUUACUUUCAGUUCUGGCGCUAUGGCAUUUCUGCGCUGUGUCGGAGAUGUUAGCGUGUCUCUAAUAAGAUCAGUCACAAACAUGAUCCCUGCACGAUCUAAUCUAUAGCGUCUUAUUAACUCCCUGUCAUCCAUCGUCUGCAACACAUUUCUUCUCCCUCUUCGUCUUUCUGCCAUUUUCUCCUCUGCUAAAGAAACUCUUAAGCCUCUUAAAAGUCCUCGUCCGUGCUCCUAACAAGUUUGACCUUAAGACCUCUUUUAAGGGUUAAGAUGCUUUCUGAAUUACUUUUUUCUUUACUAGGAUUUUUUCUUUAAUUUUAAGAGUAAACGCCCACAUUUCUAAGAAUUUUCUUAGAAUUUUGUCACUAGGAGCUACUCUUUGCAUUAAGAUUCUUUAUGAAUACGGGCCCAGGUCCCUUUCUACGAAAGCACUUUUUGUAGAUAAUAUGAUCACUGAUCAUAAUCUAGACACACUCUGUUUGACAGAAACCUGGCUAAAACCUGAUGAUUACAUUAUUUUAAAUGAGUUUACACCCCAAGAUUACUGUUAUAAACAUGAGCCACGUCCAAAAGGUAAAGGGGGAGGUGUUGCUUCAAUUUAUAACAAUGUUUUCAGGAUUUCUCAGAGGGCAGGCUUCAAGUAUAACUCGUUUGAAGUAUUGGUGCUUAAUAUAACAUUAUCCAGAGAAACAAAUGUUAAUGAUAAAUCCCCUGUGAUGUUUGUGCUGGCUACUGUAUACAGGCCACCAGAGCACCAUACAGACUUUAUUUAAGAGUUUGCUGAUUUUACAUCCCAGUUAGUGCUGGCUGCAGAUAAAGUUUUACUGGUUGGUGAUUUUAAUAUCCAUGUUGAUAAUGAAAAAGAUGCAUUGGGAUCAGCAUUUAUAGA
ensembl:lncRNA